GCAUGGAGGACAAACAGUUUUGGAGCGUGUGGUGUGUGGUCAGGUCUCGCUGCUGUGACAAUGUCAUUCAAGAAGUGGACAUUCAAUCAUUUGCAGGCGUCAAAGUGGUCAACACAGUCGUCCUCAGUAUCAGCCCAAAGACUAGUAGAACAUCUUAGGUGUAUUGCUGCCCUCCACAUGCUAUUAACAGAAUGUCCUCCUUCUGUCCUAUGGCCCACACUACAGACUUGGAC